rnacentral:rRNA from 1 species
UACGUAGGUGGCAAGCGUUGUCCGGAUUUAUUGGGCGUAAAGCGAGCGCAGGCGGUCCUUUAAGUCUGAUGUGAAAGCCCACGGCUCAACCGUGGAAGGUCAUUGGAAACUGGGGGACUUGAGUGCAGAAGAGGAAAGUGGAAUUCCAUGUGUAGCGGUGAAAUGCGUAGAUAUAUGGAGGAACACCAGUGGCGAAGGCGACUUUCUGGUCUGUAACUGACGCUGAGGCUCGAAAGCGUGGGGAGCGAACAGG